AUGGCUCAUUUUAUCCCAUGCAACAAGAUAGACGAUGCUUCACAUAUUGCAAAUAUCUUUUGUAGGGAAAUCUUGCACCUGCAUGGAGUGCCCAAGACGAUUGUCUCGGGCCGCGAUGUCAAGUUGUUGAGUUACUUUUGGAAGACUCUAUGCGCCAAGCUCGGAAUCAAGCUCUUGUUCUCUUCGGCAUACCAUCCCCAAACCGACGACCAAACGGAGGUGACGAACCGUACACUCUCCACUCUACUACACGUGAUGAUCAAGAGGAACACCAAGGAGUGGGAGGAGUGUCUACCCAUCGCCGAGUACGCCUACAACCGCGCAAGACAUUCGACCACUGGCAAGUGCCCGAAUGAACUACCUCAAGAAGAUGCAUGA
rnacentral:rRNA from 1 species